rnacentral:rRNA from 1 species
UACGUAGGGGGCAAGCGUUGUCCGGAAUCAUUGGGCGUAAAGAGCGUGUAGGCGGCUCGGUAAGUCCGCUGUGAAAGUCCAGGGCUCAACCCUGGAAUGCCGGUGGAAACUGUCGAGCUAGAGUCCGGAAGAGGCGAGUGGAAUUCCUGGUGUAGCGGUGAAAUGCGCAGAUAUCAGGAGGAACACCGAUGGCGAAGGCAGCUCGCUGGGACGGUACUGACGCUGGGGUGCGAAAGCAUGGGGAGCGAACAGG